CCCUAGUGACUCAGAUGGUAAAGAACCUGCCUGCAAUGCAAGAGACCCAGGUUCGAUCCCUGGGUUGGGGA
rnacentral:tRNA from 1 species